rnacentral:rRNA from 1 species
ACGUAGGGGGCUAGCGUUGUCCGGAUUUAUUGGGCGUAAAGAGCGUGUAGGCGGCCAGGUAAGUCUGGUGUGAAAACUCGAGGCUUAACCUCGAGAUGUCAUCGGAAACUAUCUGGCUAGAGUCCGGAAGAGGAAAGUGGAAUUCCUGGUGUAGCGGUGAAAUGCGCAGAUAUCAGGAAGAACACCAAUGGCGAAGGCAGCUCGCUGGGACGGUACUGACACUGAGGCGCGAAAGCGUGGGGAGCGAACAGGA